GAGUUUGAUCAUGGCUCAGGAUGAACGCUAGCGGCAGGCUUAAUACAUGCAAGUCGAACGGUAAGGUCUCUUCGGAGAUACACGAGUGGCGCACGGGUGCGUAACGCGUAUGCAACCUACCUUUAACUGGGAAAUAGCCCCGAGAAAUCGGGAUUAAUGUCCCAUACUAUUCUGAGAAUGCAUAUUCUUAGAAUGAAAGCUCCGGCGGUUAUUGAUGGGCAUGCGUGACAUUAGCUAGUUGGUGAGGUAACGGCUCACCAAGGCUACGAUGUCUAGGGGUCCUGAGAGGGUUAACCCCCACACUGGUACUGAGACACGGACCAGACUCCUACGGGAGGCAGCAGUAAGGAAUAUUGGGCAAUGGACGCAAGUCUGACCCAGCCAUGCCGCGUGAAGGAUGAAUGUCCUAUGGAUUGUAAACUUCUUUUAUGCAGGAAAAACAUCCCGGUCGUGAAUCGGGACUGAUGGUACUGUAUGAAUAAGCAUCGGCUAACUCCGUGCCAGCAGCCGCGGUAAUACGGAGGAUGCAAGCGUUAUCCGGAUUCAUUGGGUUUAAAGGGUGCGCAGGCGG
rnacentral:rRNA from 1 species